rnacentral:rRNA from 1 species
AAAUUGAAGAGUUUGAUCAUGGCUCAGAUUGAACGCUGGCGGCAGGCCUAACACAUGCAAGUCGAGCGGAAACGAGUUAUCUGAACCUUCGGGGAACGGUAACGGCGUCGAGCGGCGGACGGGUGAGUAAUGCCUAGGAAAUUGCCCUGAUGUGGGGGAUAACCAUUGGAAACGAUGGCUAAUACCGCAUGACGCCUACGGGCCAAAGAGGGGGACCUUCGGGCCUCUCGCGUCAGGAUAUGCCUAGGUGGGAUUAGCUAGUUGGUGAGGUAAGGGC